CCAGACUCCUACGGGAGGCAGCAGUGGGGAAUAUUGCACAAUGGGGGGAACCCUGAUGCAGCGACGCCGCGUGGGUGAAGGAGUACUUCGGUACGUAAAGCCCUAUCAGCAGGAAAGAAAAUGACGGUACCUGACUAAGAAGCCCCGGCUAACUACGUGCCAGCAGCCGCGGUAAUACGUAGGGGGCAAGCGUUAUCCGGAUUUACUGGGUGUAAAGGGAGCGUAGGUGGCAUGGUAAGCCAGAAGUGAAAACCCAGGGCUCAACUCUGUGGAUUGCUUUUGGAACUAUCAAGCUAGAGUGCUGGAGGGGUAAGCGGAAUUCCUAGUGUAGCGGUGAAAUGCGUAGAUAUUAGGAGGAACACCGGUGGCGAAGGCGGCUUACUGGACAGAAACUGACACUGAGGCUCGAAAGCGUGGGGAGCAAACAGGAUUAGAUACCCUCGUAA
rnacentral:rRNA from 1 species